rnacentral:rRNA from 1 species
UACAGAGGUCUCAAGCGUUGUUCGGAUUCAUUGGGCGUAAAGGGUGCGUAGGUGGCGCGGUAAGUCGGGUGUGAAAUUUCGGAGCUUAACUCCGAAACUGCAUUCGAUACUGCCGUGCUUGAGGACUGGAGAGGAGACUGGAAUUUACGGUGUAGCAGUGAAAUGCGUAGAUAUCGUAAGGAAGACCAGUGGCGAAGGCGGGUCUCUGGACAGUUCCUGACACUGAGGCACGAAGGCCCAGGGGAGCAAACGGG